GCAGACUGCGGGGCCAGGCUCUCCAGUUAGAGUCAGCGCCUGGGCGGGUCCCGGAAGCCUCCGGCGCGGCUGGUUUUCAUCUGUGCUGCAGUGGAGCCUCACCUGUUAGUUUUAUGCUCUAGCCUGGAUUUGGAGACCCCAGGGAGAGGUGAGCUAGGAGCCCUGUCCCCUGGCCUGGGGCUCUGGGGCAUGGACUGUGCGACUGUCUCUAUCCUGCCACUGUUGCUGCUCCCUGAGUCAAAAUGGACCACGUUGCCGUUGUUUUGGGGUGUGCCCGAGUGCGCUGAGGACAGCUGGCUGGUCUCAGAACUGUGGCCCAUCCACCCCUUCCCUCAAGACAAGAGUGUGGCCAAGCAUCAACCUCACCCCCAGAGACCAGACAGUAUCCAGGUCUUGGGCAGAUGAAACUUGCUCCUUGGGGAUGGUCUUUCUGGCUGUGCUUCCAAAGGGCUGGCCUGCAAUCAGCUGGUUUUCACUUGAUCCUUUCGAGGUUUGCAUUUUAUCUGACUGAAGGAAUGAACUGGGAGAGAACAGCAGAGCCACAGCGGAAUGUGGAAAGGCCUGCAUCGAGACUGUUCCCAUCCUGGCAGGUGGUGGGGACAGGUAUCUUGUCUUCUGGGUCUGUUGUCCCACGUGGAGCCCGGUGACCCUGCUAUAAGAGUGCCCUCAGCUGCAUAGCAUAAGGACCAGAACACAGCAGACUCUCCUUAGGCUGUGAUUGGCCACUAGCAUUGCAUUCCUGCUCCACUCUCCAAGUGUAAAUACUUACUCUCGAUUUUCUUUAUCCUCAUUUCCCAGGGAAUGAAGAUGACCACAAAGUUACAGGCGAGACGAGCAAAUUUCCGCCAGAGCUAGACAAGAGGGGUCAGGAUUAGAUGUCAUAUUCAUGAAGAUGGCAAUGACUGUGCAGUACUAGGCACCUAAAUGUAGUAUACCAGAUACUCCCUCUGGUAAUCCCUUUAAUUAUGGAUUAUGGCUUCAUAGGCCUUUAAGCUGCACUAGAACCAAAGUAGCUCCCUUCUCUGUGCUCCUAACCAGGUGAAUGGACACCGGCUUUGGAUAAAUAAUGCAAGCUGUGGUCCCAUAGAAUAUGCACCUUAAUAUAGACACCACCCAGUCUGUGGUAUCUGUAUUGAGGUGCGUAUUCUAUAGGGUUGCAGUUUGCAUUAGCCAUCCCAUUCCUGAUGUGGGGUAUCUCUUGCUCUUUGAGAAAAGAAAAAGUUUAACUUUUGGCAAUUACAUCUUAAAACCACAACACACAGUAGAAAUUACUUGAGGAAUGAUAUAUGAAUAAAUCCACUUGAUCUUGCCAUAAACCUAAGGGGUUUCUGAGAGUGUGCCCCAGGAAUCCGGAUGCCUAACGAACUCCCCAGGUGAUUACAAGCACAUCCCUGUUUAAGGACCAAGAGUUUAGAGCCUACCCUGAAAAUGAGCCCCACUCUAAUGUGUGACUUGCCUCCUGCUACAGCCUCUUUCCUGGAUAGAGCUGUCGGGGAUAAGGUCUAAAAAUUUGUCUUGUAGUUUUGGCUGGGUGUGGUGGCUCACGCCUGUAAUCCCAACACUUUGGGAGGCCGAGGUGGGCAGAUCACGACGUCAGGAGUUCGAGACCAGCCUGGCCAAU